GCUUAGAGAAAACAGUUUUUCAACUGACUCUCAGUCAGUCUGGAGUUUGGAGUUCAAGCCUGAAGGUGUGGAUCUGGACUCUUCCUGGACAAACCCAUCUAUCAAGUUGCCUGUCUUAUAAUAACAUCAAGCAAAGGUGAAGAAGAAGUUCCCCAUUCAUUCUGGUGGACAGAGAAGCUUUUUCUGGAGUUUCUAAGGACUCUGCAACUGGACCUCUGCUGCCUGACCAACUAAGGACUCUGUGCAUUGAGCAUUAAGGAUACAAAGAAUGGCAAUAAACAGCCUCUGCUAUGAAGAAGCUCAGAGCAUAAUUGAGGAGGCAAUAUGUAUGCAGUUUUGCACAAAGAAGAUGCACAAGGGAUCAUAUUUAGGAGACAAUCUCAGAGGGAAACCAUUAAAGCUUCUUGGAGAAGGUGGGACAUUUUCUGGGACAAAAAGGAAGGCAGGAAAUAGAGGUGAGAAGGGAAAGAAUGAGUCAUAGUCAAUUAAAACUUGAACUGGGAGAUGGUCUUGUGAAAGGAAGAAUAAAGAUGGCAGCAUUACUGGAUAGAUAACACAGUACAUGGAGAGAAGUAAGGUAUAAGAAGACUGGAAAGGCAAGAAGAGGCCAAGUUAUAAAGGACUUUAAAAGACAAA